rnacentral:tRNA from 1 species
GGGGAUGUAGCUCAGUUAGAGUAUGUGCUUCUUAUGCAUGAAGCCCUGGGUUCUGUCCCCAGCACUUCCC